UUUUUAGAAUCAUGGGUACAGAUGCCUGAUUGUUGCCUGUGUUUAGAUUCUUUGCAAACUUCUAAAUAACAUAUAGAGUAUCAAAAAGGCUUUAGUAAUAGACUGUUCUUAUAAUCUUGCUCCAAAGUACAUUAGAAACCAAAUGACCUGUACUUUCUAUGAAACAAUGAGCUAGGCCUAGAAAUAAGACCUAAGUCGCAUGUGGGCAGGCAGAGCCGCAGGAGACCAAGACUGGACAGCACAAAGGGCACAGGCUGGUGUGCAUUCCUGCUAGAAACUGGAAGCCGAGGCCCAUUGCCUUGGGCUACAGAGUUUCAGUGGAGCAGUUCAAAAUGAUACUAGGCAUCAUUGUAGCUCCAGCAAUGCCCUCUAAAAGUGAUCUGAGACGAUUAAGACCGAAGGAGACUGCAUGAGACCGAAUGGGACCACACCUGCCAAGCACACGCUGCUCUCUGCCCAGAUUCCCAGUGCCCUGACCACUUAGGAUGCAGACCAAGUCCUGAGUGCCAAGGAGGGGAGAAGUGCGGGCUUGAAUUCCCUUUGGUUUUGAGUAUACACUACUUGAAAACACAUGCAGCAUCAAGAGUCAAUGUAAGUAAACACCUUCAGGGCUAUGUAAUUGCUAUCUGUAUAGAAUGGACUUUCAGGGGUCAUUAAAGAGACCACCAAAUCCCCAGGAAAGCCACGUCUGCCUGUUGAUUUAGAGUCACUCAGUCACCAAACAGGAAUGACAAGGAAAGCAGACCCGUCAGUCACAUUCCAAGUCAUGCUCAGUCGCUGCCUGCUGCUUUCUCCUCCUAGUAGUAGGCCAGGAGCUGAAGCUGAGCAAAGCUGCAGAGGAGGCAUCUGGGUGGAGCAGCUGGCUCUAGGAUGCUGCACAGGAGCUGAAGGAACAAAACAGUGCUUCCUGUUUACACAGUCUGAAUCCAGACUCAAAAGUCCCAGUUUGAGAAGUAUCUCGGACUCUAGAGUGCUGGGAUUAAAGACAUGAGGCACUUCACCCAGCUCAAAACCCUGAAAUUGGAAGCUAACUGCUGAGCAUCAAGGACUACACGAGUGGUGAGACACUCACUGUUACAAUAUGGUGACAGUCAGGAAGAUGAAGGCUAAUCAGAACAGGGACUCCAGGGAGGCUGCAAUUCUACUGCCAGCUUUCGGAUCUCUCUGCCCAGCCAUCCUAACUCCCCGGAUUCUCUCUGCUUCCUCAUCUGUUGUAGCCUAGAAAUAAAUAAUCUUGUCACUGUAACUCAGAGAUCUGGGAUUAGACUGAAUGUGACUUCCGCUGUGCAGCCAAACUGAAGUGGAUCUCCCUUUCACCUCGGCCGCGUGACGGCUUAGUCACUAAGGGCUGGUCGGUGAAUCUUUAACUGAUGAUUUACAUCACUGUCUAUUUAAGCUCGGGAAGUCAAAUAAAUGUGAAGGGCUGGCAUCAUGACAUGCCAAGGCAUGGCAAGUGGGUGGAAUUACUUUUCUUCCAUAUAUGGGAAAGCCUGUAUGUUCAAGUCUGUGAGACAUUCAGUAACCAAGAAUAUUUCUCUAAUAAGCAGUUGUGCAAGGCUGCAUGUCUGAAUGUGCACAUGACAUUCCCUGUAAAUGGCAGCCGCAGGGGAAGAGCAUCCAACAUGCGGAGUUUGUGUGCACUCCGACUGUCUGUACAUACAGUCUCAAUUGCAUGAGAAAGUCUUCAGGAACUCUGGCCACACCUACAGACCCAUAGGACAUAUCAACUGUGGCUAUGGGGUCUCCUUGACCAAGGUCAUCACCACCUAAAAGCAGCUGGUGGAAAAAGAUAGACUACUGCAUUUAAAAACCAAAUGGAGAGAUGCGCUCUGCCAGGGGUCGGUGAAGUAUCCCAAGAUGGCUGGGCAAAUUAAUAAAAAAGUUUUUAACACGUA